rnacentral:rRNA from 1 species
UGGGGAAUUUUGGACAAUGGGCGAAAGCCUNAUCCAGCAAUGCCGCGUGUGUGAAGAAGGCCUUCGGGUUGUAAAGCACUUUUGUCCGGAAAGAAAUCCUCUGGGUUAAUACCUCGGGGGGAUGACGGUACCGGAAGAAUAAGCACCGGCUAACUACGUGCCAGCAGCCGCGUAAUACGUAGGGUGCAAGCGUUAAUCGGAAUUACUGGGCGUAAAAGCGUGCGCAGGGCGGUUUUUGUAAGACGGAUGUGAAAUCCCCGGGGCUUAACCUGGGAACUGCAUUCGUGACUGCAAGGCUAGAGUAUGGCAGAGGGGGGUAGAAUUCCACGUGUGAGCAGUGAAAUGCGUAGAGAUGUGGAGGAAAUACCGAUGGCGAAGGCAGCCCCCUGGGCCAAAUACCUGACGCUCAUGCACGAAAAGCGU